rnacentral:misc_RNA from 1 species
AAGUCGUAACAAGGUCAUCGUAGGUGAACCUGCGGUGGGAUCAUUAAAUAAUCUCAACCUUAGGGGCUAUUUUGCUAUGGGUGUGGUUGUUUCUUUAGUGCUUUGAGAAUGUGUGCCAUCUGUUAUGGAUGGCGUGCUUCUUGGAGGACGGGAGAUGACUAUUGCUUGCAGCAGAGCUCUCUGCUUGUGUGAAUCUUGUAUGUUGCCUGGAGAGGAUAUGUUAUGUAUCUAAUCCGGCGAUGUGAGAACAGUUUUGGUGGGUGUAUUGUGAGAGUACAUACUCUGCACUCUGACAUACGCCCGCCAGCUGUUCUCUCUAACAUAAACACUAUCAAACAACCAACAACCAUAUAUCACGAGGACUAAACACCCUCAUCAACUAAUUUACAACUAUCCGUGGUGGAUCACUUGGCUCUU